UCACUCUAAGUCAGAAUACCAAGCCCUGUUUCGAAACAGCUUGGUGUUCCACCUUACAGUGGGUCGAC
rnacentral:pre_miRNA from 1 species